AGAGUCGGAGCAGAACUCCUGUCGGACAACAUCUCCAGAACUCUACGCUCCAUAUGACUAGGCAGUUUGUGAAGACAGAUAAUCAAGAGAUGUGACAAACUGUACAGAAGUCAGUUCCAGAUCCACCCUCCACACCAGACCUCUCUCAUAUGGACUGCUGUCUACUAGCAUACUUCGGUGGAUUCAGAUAUUUCUCAGGGACAUGAACACUUGAAUAUAGCAAGAAUAUAGAAAGCUAUGUGGAUGUAAUCUCACUUCUCAGUCCUGUAAAAGUUUGUCUUCAGCAGAGUAGCAAUGACCUAAAAGAUUCUGGAAUGAAGCUUCUUUCUGAUGGACUGAAGAAUCCAAACUGUCAGCUGGAGAUUCUGAG